GCGCCUGUAGCUCAGUUGGAUAGAGCAACGGACUUCUAAUCCGUAGGUCGCAGGUUCGAAUCCUGCCAGGCGCG
rnacentral:tRNA from 1 species